rnacentral:rRNA from 1 species
UUCGUAGGGGGCGAGCGUUGUCCGGAUUUAUUGGGCGUAAAGAGCGUGUAGGCGGUUCGGUAAGUCUGUCGUGAAAUCCUGAGGCUCAACCUUGGACGUGCGAUGGAUACUGCCGGGCUAGAGGAUGGUAGAGGCGAGUGGAAUUCUCGGUGUAGCGGUGAAAUGCGCAGAUAUCGGGAGGAACACCGGUGGCGAAGGCGGCGACCUGGGUCGAGACUGACGCUGAGGCGCGAAAGCGUGGGGAGCAAACAGG